UGGCCAGCAUUUCUUCCAAGCCAUCCCCACUAGCUAAGUGCAGGCCCCUUUCACAUCCAAUGCUGAUUUUCCAAGAAUAUUCUAAGGCCCACGGGGAAAGGAAAGAGCAACAAAGGUUCGGCUUGACUCCUGAAAGCAGGUCUUUAGUCUUUGCUAAGGAACAACAAAGCCCAUGUUUUACAUUCUCAUUUUCAGGUACAUCUAUGUAAGAGUUAUUCUAGACAAUUAACACUACACAUUUUGCCGGUGUUCUCUCCAAGGUCUGGCAGCCUGCCCGCCCACCUCAGCCCAUCUCUGCCCAUGUGUGUUCAUCUUCACAGUCACGGCUCCACUGGGAAGCAGUAGUGACAAGCCAGGACACUUGCCCAUCUCUCUGGACUGCAGAAGUGAAGGGAGGUGCCAGUCAUUUAGAAGUCCAUAGAAAUUCAUUCAUUCUUUUCUUUCCUUCCUUCCUUUCUUUCUUCCCUUUCCAUUCUUCUUCUUCUUUCGGUAGAUAGGAAGAAAGGAAGGUCUCAGAUGUGGGUUUCAAUUCUGCAUCUUUGAGCUUUAGCCUCAGCUACCUUAUCUAUAAAAGAGCAAAUUCCCCUGAUCUGUGCAGCUCACGGUGAACUUGAGAAAAGCACAAAGCCUUCUGCUGCGGUCGGAUCAAGGAACACUAGAACAGUUCCUGGAAGAGCAGCUGGCACAUGCUACCUCUCCACAGUGUUUGAUACUAUCAUCUCUCCUCCAUCCCUGUCCACAACCAAGGAAUCUAAAGGGCCCGAUUCAUGCAGAUUCAGACAGCAAAGCUAGGAGUGGGUCAGGUUCUCAGGCAAAGUAUGGCCUGGCUUCUCCAGCCUCAGGUCCAUCUGUAUGUCCAUCUCACCCAAGGGUCCAGUGAAAGCAGUCAUUCUGCAUGGUGAGGCUGCAGUGUGGUGACCUCUCUGAAGAUUGGGUCCAGGAUCCUCCAGAAGGACGAGGUGGCCAGGCCUCUGCAGCAGAAACGACCCACAGGCCAUAAGCAAUAGCUUCAGGCAGCCCUUCCCUUCCUCCCACCAAGAAAGGGCAGUGCAAUCAUUCCUCCAGGAGAGAAUAACCCAGGAAACAAGUGCCAGCAGCAAGGCUCAACUGGGUGUGAACCUGCUUGCUGCUGUAAGCCAAGUGACUGUGCUGGGCUCCUCGAUUGGGCCUAAGUGGCUGCAUGUGACAGCAGGGUCCACCACGAGCCAGGCAUUGCAGCAGGAAAUUAAAUUUAAACAGCA
rnacentral:lncRNA from 1 species